UACGUAGGCAGCGAGCGUUGUUCGGAGUUACUGGGCGUAAAGGGUGUGUAGGCGGUUGUUUAAGUUUGGUGUGAAAUCUCCCGGCUCAACUGGGAGGGUGCGCCGAAUACUGAAUGACUUCGAGUGCGGGAGAGGAAAGUGGAAUUCCUGGUGUAGCGGUGAAAUGCGUAGAGAUCGGGAGGAACACCAGUGGCGAAGGCGGCUACCUGGACCAGCACUGACACUGAGGCACGAAAGCGUGGGGAGCAAACAGG
rnacentral:rRNA from 1 species